UGGGGAAUAUUGCACAAUGGGCGCAAGCCUGAUGCAGCCAUGCCGCGUGUGUGAAGAAGGCCUUCGGGUUGUAAAGCACUUUCAGCGGGGAGGAAGGCGAUAAGGUUAAUAACCUUGUCGAUUGACGUUACCCGCAGAAGAAGCACCGGCUAACUCCGUGCCAGCAGCCGCGGUAAUACGGAGGGUGCAAGCGUUAAUCGGAAUUACUGGGCGUAAAGCGCACGCAGGCGGUCUGUCAAGUCGGAUGUGAAAUCCCCGGGCUCAACCUGGGAACUGCAUUCGAAUCUGGCAGGCUAGAGUCUUGUAGAGGGGGGUAGAAUUCCAGGUGUAGCGGUGAAAUGCGUAGAGAUCUGGAGGAAUACCGGUGGCGAAGGCGGCCCCCUGGACAAAGACUGACGCUCAGGUGCGAAAGCGUGGGGAGCAAACAGG
rnacentral:rRNA from 1 species